AGCCGAAACAGCGGAAAAAUUCUACUCCGCUGUCUGCCGUGAACGGUCACACGGUACUGAUGAGGCAGACCAAA
rnacentral:hammerhead_ribozyme from 1 species